rnacentral:rRNA from 1 species
AGAGUUUGAUCAUGGCUCAGAAUGAACGCUGGCGGCGUGCUUAACACAUGCAAGUCGAACGAGAUCCAUGGUGUAGCAAUACACCGGAAGAUCUAGUGGCGAACGGGUGAGGAACACGUGAGAAACCUGCCCCAGACUUUGGGAUAACAAGUGGAAACGCUUGCUAAUACCGAAUGACGUCGGAGAACCGCAUGGUUCACUGACGAAAGGAAUUCCGGUUUGGGAGGGUCUCGCGGCCUAUCGGCUUGUUGGUGGGGUAAUGGCCUACCAAGGCAACGACGGGUAGCUGGUCUGAGAGGAUGAUCAGCCACACUGGGACUGAGACACGGCCCAGACUCCUACGGGAGGCAGCAGUGGGGAAUCUUGCGCAAUGGGCGAAAGCCUGACGCAGCAACGCCGCGUGCGGGAUGAAGGCCUUCGGGCUGUAAACCGCUUUCAGCAGGAACGAAAAUGACGGUACCUGCAGAAGAAGGAGCGGCCAACUACGUGCCAGCAGCCGCGGUGACACGUAGGCUCCAAGCGUUGUCCGGAUUUAUUGGGCGUAAAGAGCUCGUAGGCGGUUGAGUAAGUCGGGUGUGAAAACUCUGGGCUUAACCCGGAGACGCCAUCCGAUACUGCUCUGACUUGAGUUCAGGAGGGGAGUGGGGAAUUCCUAGUGUAGCGGUGAAAUGCGCAGAUAUUAGGAGGAACACCGGUGGCGAAGGCGCCACUCUGGACUGAAACUGACGCUGAGGAGCGAAAGCAUGGGUAGCAAACAGGAUUAGAUACCCUGGUAGUCCAUGCCGUAAACGGUGGGCACU